GUUUCUCUUUGUUCACUAGUGCUGAAGUGUGAUCAUACGUUCUUUAGGCUUGAUUUGAAGAUCAUUGAAGUCGAUUCAAACUGGUUUAUGUGGCAACAAAAGAAAUAGUCUUGAAAGCCACCGCAUGAAUCUGUGUCGUUCAAGGAAAAGAAGUUAAAUACGGCAGAUUUCACCCAUGGAGUCCCCUAAGUGCUGAAAAAUUGGUUUCUGGGCAUGCCAAGCUCCUUGGUCUUGGUACUGUAGAAAAAAUAGAAAAUAAGAUCAUGCAGUUGCACCAGGGUUCACCGUCUGGAUAUCCACAAACAUGCCUUGAUCAGCCACUCAAUAACAUUGUCUGGAGAAACCAAUACUGUUAUAGAGGAAGCAUUCAUUCUAAUUGGAAGUGGAGAGGACAGAGGCAAGGGAGACGUGCUGAAAGAGUAUUUUGCCUGGCUUACUUACUGCAAGUCGAAGCUGAAUGACGUCUUCUAGAGUGGCUUCACUCAUACCUGCCCUGAUGGUUCUUCCCUGUUGCACUCCAUCUGCUUGAAAGUCUGUGUUUCUGGCUCCACGUAGGUCUCCUCUGCAUCUCAUUUCCAUCAUUUUAUGAAGGAGAGAAAUUUUGUGAAAUACCUAUUGCUGGAAGUGUUUUAAGAGCAGCCAUGUUGAAAAACCAUUUCCAGUUGCUUCCAACAUGUUCUGGAUUCAACUCAUGAUCUUAAUGAUGAAGGACGCCACAUCCCAUUAACAGUCUUCUGAGCCAUACAGUUCUCCUGAGAGCCUGUUUCAUACCACAGUGAAUUCUGUCCUGUCUUUUGGCACAAUAAUAAAGGGAAGAGAAUGUCAUCCAGCAUCAGGGUGCCAGACCCUGGAGUCUGUCUGUUCCCAAAUGAGGAGGGUGAAGAAGUAGCUUGCUGGUCUCUGCAGAAUAUGGAGAACUUCUCCACAGAAGAUGGAAGGUCCGGGUUGACAAAUAUUGUCAAAGGGACUUAUGGUAUCUGCCAGCUGGAAAAGGAAGAGCUCAGUGGAAAAAAGGAGGUGAGCACAAAGAGGGACCUUGUGGAGACGAUAGCAGAGAAAUAUUUUCUUGAGCAUGAAACAGUGAACCAAGACUGAAUCCCAGCACCUUC